GGAUAUGAGGGUGAUCUGGCUGUGAUAUCUGUCACCCCAUUGAUCUCCAGGGCUGAUCUGGCUGUCCCCUUCCUCCUUCACGCCUCCACGUGCAUCCCUCUGGAAGCUGUGCCACUCAGUUGAAGAGGACGGCCUUCCCUAAAUAGAGACAGACCAGUCUUUGGUUGAGGGUAUAUGAGUAGUUGUGCUCCCCUGCUAGAACCUCCAAACAAGCUCUCAAGAAAUAAUGUUGGAAUUAGUAAUGGUUUGCUUGUUUUGUUGUUGUUGUUGUUUGUAUGAUAGGGUUGGAGAAGUAACUUGUCAGACAGG
rnacentral:snRNA from 1 species